GACGUAGGGUCCGAGCGUUGUUCGGAAUCACUGGGCGUAAAGCGCACGUAGGCGGAUUUGUCAGUCAGGGGUGAAAUCCCGGGGCUCAACCUCGGAACUGCCUUUGAUACAGCAAGUCUUGAGUUCGAGAGAGGUGGGUGGAACUGCGAGUGUAGAGGUGAAAUUCGUAGAUAUUCGCAAGAACACCAGUGGCGAAGGCGGCUCACUGGCCCGAUACUGACGCUGAGGCACGAAAGCGUGGGGAGCAAACAGG
rnacentral:rRNA from 1 species